CGGUAGCAGCGGCAAUCAGCAGCCCGAAGCCAGCCUGAGCCAACUGCCCUACCAGGCUGGCUCCGGGCUGCUGAGGCUGCUGCUGCCA